rnacentral:miRNA from 1 species
AAGCUGCUUUUACUGUCCAUCCAUGCAUAAAUAAGAGAGCUUGAGCUAGGUUUUGUGUGGUGUGUGUGGAGUUGCAAAUACACGAGAAUUUCUAAGGAAGAGAGAGCUGGAGAGAGGGAAAAGGGGAGAGUUGCUGGAAGUUAGGGGUGUGGGAGGAUUGGACAGAACACAAACCCCACCUUGUUUUAUAAAGGGGAAUGUGAUUGUUCUUUCCAACACCUCCCAUACCGUUGAUUUCCAGCUCUUCCUUCCUCUUCCCAACAUCGUAGUACUUUCCUACUUAAGUUUGCCAAGCAGAUCCGGAGGAUUUUUGGAUGAUUCAACCGAAUAAGAUACCAUCUCAUGCUCAUGGGGGUAUGGAGCACAUUAGAUGCAUGGAAAGUAGUAUGUCUUUUCCAACAGAUCUGCAUCAGUCAGUAUUUCACCACACAAGUUCAGCUGUGAGGUUAUUUUAAACAUGACAGAAUUAUAAUCAGCGACUGAUUUGAAAUCUUGGAUUCUUAAAUUACUCCACUCAUGCCGGGAUGUCACACUCCAUCUAUUUGAAUGUACCGCAGUUGGGAUCUUUUAGAUACUCAUUUUAUGGAAUGGUCUUAAUUACAUGGCUAUUAAAUUCGACUCCUUUACUCAAAAAAAAAAAAAAAAAAAAAAA